UCGUACGAGAACUCUUUAGCUUGCUAAAGAUAGUAAAGUGGCGCACGGGUGAGUAACGCGUGGGUAAUCUACCUCCGAAUCGGGGAUAACCCGCCGAAAGGCGAGCUAAUACCGGAUAAUAUCUUUAAAACUUCGGUUUUAAAGAUCAAAGGUGGUCUCUACAUGUAAGCUACUGUUUGGAGAUGAGCCCGCGUACCAUUAGCUUGUUGGUAGGGUAAUGGCCUACCAAGGCUUCGAUGGUUAGCUGGUCUGAGAGGAUGAUCAGCCACACUGGAACUGACACACGGUCCAGACUCCUACGGGAGGCAGCAGUGAGGAAUUUUGCGCAAUGGGGGAAACCCUGACGCAGCAACGCCGCGUGAGUGAUGAAAGGUUUUCGGGUCGUAAAGCUCUGUCCAGUGGGAAGAAAAAUGCUUGAUUGUUAAUACCAUCUUCUCACUGUGACGGUACCACUGAAGGAAAACACCGCGCCUAACUCCGUGCCGGCAGCCCCCCGCGGUAAUACGGGGGGGUGCAA
rnacentral:rRNA from 1 species